CAAAUCUUUUGCGAGUGCUGCGUGCUUAACUGUGCGUAGCAUUUCACAACAUUAGCACAAGGUCGCAAGACCUUGAUGUUUACGCUUGUUUGUUUGACAGAGUUAGUUGAGACAAAAAAAGA
rnacentral:misc_RNA from 1 species